UACGGGGGGAGCAAGCGUUGUUCGGAUUUACUGGGCGUAAAGGGCGCGUAGGCGGCCACUGCAAGUCGGUUGUGAAAUCUCCGGGCUUAACCCCGGAAAGGUCAAUCGAUACUGCAGGGCUAGAGUGCAGAAGGGGCAACUGGAAUUCCGUGUGUAGCGGUGAAAUGCGUAGAUAUACGGAGGAACACCAGUGGCGAAGGCGACUACCUGGCCUGUUCUUGACGCUGAGGCGCGAAAGCUAGGGGAGCAAACGGGG
rnacentral:rRNA from 1 species